rnacentral:rRNA from 1 species
AGCUGUUUCUUAGUCUAAAAAACUGAGAGAGUAAGGGCUGGGUAAGACGGGUGCCAGCCGCCGCGGUAAUACCUGCAGCUCAAGUGGUGGCCGCUAUUAUUGGGCCUAAAACGUCCGUAGCCUGUUUAGUAAAUGCUUGGGUAAAUUGUGUAGCUUAACUAUACGAAUACCGGGUAGACUGCUAAACUUGGGACCGGGAGAGGCUAGAGGUACUCCUGGGGUAGAGGUGAAAUUCUGUAAUCCUCAGGGGGACCACCAGUGGCGAAGGCGUCUAGCUAGAACGGGUCUGACGGUGAGGGACGAAGCCCUGGGGCGCAAACCGGAUUAGAUACCCGGGUAGUCCAGGGUGUAAACGCUGCUUGCUUGAUGUUAGUUGGGCUCCGAGCCCAACUAGUGUCGGAGAGAAGUUGUUAAGCAAGCUGCCUG